GCUGAUGAUCCUUUGCUGCCGGUCUGCCGGAUACUGCACACAGACAGGAACAACCAAGAUACAAUGUCAUAUGUGUGAGGGGACGGCCUUUUUACAUUCAAGUAUGUUAGAUAUUUGCCUUUUAUGUGUGAAUUAAUUGUGGAAUUUUACUUUUGAGUUGCAAUUUGUUAAAUCCAUGUCUUCUUAGGUGGGGAGGAAAGUCAUAUAUACCGUGUCAAAUUUGAGAUUUGAGGGAAGCUAACUGGCCUUCUUCGUGAUAUCUGUAUUUCCGAUUUUAUUUGCUUUGUUGGUUUGUUUCAUGAUCUGUUUUUCUGGCCGCUAAACAGAAAUUAGGAUUUAAUAGAACAGGUAAGUAAAAUAGAGGUGAUAUGUCUAGAGACUGGAAACAAAUCCUCUUCUGUUUUGUGGUCUGUCAGAUUCUUCUGGUAGUCCGAAGAUCCCCGAAUUCCUUAAAAUUGGACCAUGGUUCGCAGAAUGCAAGAUGUAAUCUUUGAACUUGUAUAUGGCUACUGUAUACAGAAUUGCAUAAUCAUAGAAAGAUUGUGCUUGGAGGAUUAAAGAUACACCCUAAAAAGGGAAGUUUAAUUGCACGUCAAUCUGUUGAUAAUAUGAAAUGGGUCUUUUUCUUGAACUAGUAUAUGGUGUUAUGUUAAACGUGUUACACAUAUAUUGCCCUUUCAUGCUACAACAACAACAUACUCAGUGAAAUCCCACUAAGUAGGGUCUACGAAGGAUAGAGUAUACACAGACCUUACCACUACCUCGUGGAAGUAGAGAGGUUGUUUCCGAAAGACCCUCGGCUCAAGUGCGUCAAAUUCAAGUAAAAGAAGAAGACAAUGAAGAAAACAUAGCAGUUAAAUAAGAAAAGCAGUGUAUAGUCGAUAAAAAAGCAAUAACAACAACAAAAUAGUGGGGGUCAUGUACCCUUUCAUGCUACAUGAGCAAAAAUACCUUGAACUGCAAUUUAUUUCAUUAGAAUCAUUGCAUGUUCUUGCUAUUAUUGUGAAAAAGACUGAGUAGCUAUAAUAGGUUACAGGAAAAAUACUAUUUUGUAUUUCUGGGAUGCGCUACUUAGGAAUAUGUUCGUGUUUCGGAGGCCAGUUUAUGCUGAAAAGACACCUUUUUAGAUUUCAUAAACCAUACCAACUUGAAGUGUUUUAUCUGGUGGAAUUUGAAGUGCAGAAAUAGCUGCCCUGCUAUUCUUCUGAAGAAACCUGUACAAGUACUCUAUAGUGAAGCGAGCAAACCAACCUUUAUUUGCUUUGAGAAUGGUUCUUCCUAACACAAAAACGGGUCCUCUUUCAGCAGCUGCAUCUAUUUUUCGUUUUUCACUAGUAGACUCGGCUUGGUCUUGGAGUUUUGUGAUCAUUAAAGUAACAAAGUCAUCUCCUUCCAUGCUUUGAGAAUCCUUAUAUCCAAACUGAAUCAAACACCGAUAAAAUCCUUCAACUCCCGUCUUCCCCACAUUGUAACGUUCCUCCACCAGGACGGUUUUGAUGGGAAGAGUUCUAACAGUGACAAUUACCAGGAUUUCUCUUACAGAAUUUGUGUGCUGAAUGUAAUGACAGAUUAUGGGUGGAAUGCCAUUUCUGAGAUCAGUGAAAAAGAAGCAAAUUCCUGGUGCUCGGUAUGUACUAUAGCUUGAUAGCAUUUGGUCUAGAUCAGGUAAACUCAUCUUUCUAUCUGCUUCAUAUUCUUUUUUCUUACUCCUUCCAUAUGUCCAAGAUAGCAUGAUAGUCAAGAAGAAAGCAGAAAUAGCAAAUGGCACCCAUCCUCCUUGUGGUAUUUUAUUGAGCAAAGAUGUCAUGAAACAACCUUCAAUUAUUAUAUAAGGCAAGAAAAAUGCCAAAAUGAGAAUGAUAUUUGUCUUCCAUAUGAUUAGCAUCACUAAUGCUGUCAAGAAUGUUGUUAUGAUCAGGGGCGGACCCACGUGGAGGUCAGGGGGUUCACCCGAACCCCCUCAUCGAAAAAUUACACUGUAUAUAUAAGGUCUAUUUCUGAUUUUAUGAGUACAUAUAUUAAAAUGAACCCCCUCAAUUUUUAAGAGAGGCAUGGCUCAGUGGUUAAGGGGUUCAACUCUAACCAAGAGGGUCUGGGUUCGAUUCCCACUUGCAACAUUUUUCCAUUUGUUUUUUUUUCUUUGAAAGGUUGAAUGGGCUCUUGCUUUGGGCUCAAAUCCAAUUCCAUUUCAUUGUUUUUAGAAGGCUGUAUGGGCUCUGGUUUCGGGCUCAAAUCCCAACUCAAUGAAAUGUCUCACUAUUUGAUUAUUAUUAAAUUUGAAAUUGAUUUACAAAAAUAUUAUAUAAAAAUAAAUUAAAUUAAAGUUAAUCGAAUGAAGAAAUUUAAAAGUCGUGUAUAAUCUUUUAAUAAAAUCUAAUUAAUUGAUUCCCGCCCCUCCCCCCCCUCUUAAAUUUAUAGUAUUUCUUUCUUAUUUUUUUUCAGUUUGAUUUUAAAAAGAUGAAAACUAAACUAAACUUAUUUGUUCUAUUCAUCAUUUGAUGAAUUAUUAUUAAAUUUGAAAUUGAUUUACAAAAAUAUUAUAUAAAAAUAAAUUAAAUUAAAGUUAAUCGAAUGAAGAAAUUUAAAAGUCGUGUAUAAUCUUUUAAUAAAAUCUAAUUAAUUGAUUCCCGCCCCUCCCCCCCCUCUUAAAUUUAUAGUAUUUCUUUCUUAUUUUUUUUCAGUUUGAUUUUAAAAAGAUGAAAACUAAACUAAACUUAUUUGNNNNNNNNNNNNNNNNNNNNNNNNNNNNNNNNNNNNNNNNNNNNNNNNNNNNNNNNNNNNNNNNNNNNNNNNNNNNNNNNNNNNNNNNNNNNNNNNNNNNUAAACUUAUUGGAUUCAGAUUACUAGUUUCCUCCUAUAUCUCGCUCAGUUUUUUAUCUUGUAAUUUUCACAUGUUUACUUCUUUAUAUUUCGAACCCCCUCCACAGAAAUCCUGGAUCCGCCACAGUUGACACCCCUUCGUUAGAAAACUAUAUUGUAUAGAUAGGUAACUUAUUUAUUUUAUAUAUAUGUGUUAUGAUAUUGAUAUCCUUUGAAUUCUUCAUGAAUUUACUUAUUUAUAUUUUGACAUUUCUUUAUGAAAAUUCUGAUUCGAACACUAAAAAUAACUAUCAAUAUUAAAUGACUGAUGACGACGAUCAUGCAUGAUAAAAGGAUGAUCAAGUGAACAACUCUAUCGACAAUUGCAUUGGGUAUCAAAUAAGGAUAAUAUACUUAAUAAUAUUGAUAUUUUUCUUUCUUUAUAGAAUAGAAUAAUGAGUUGGCACCUUUUUGAAGUUUCUUUUUAAGCACGUCGCCAAAAGUCAAAAUUCUUUUGGAUAUCCCUUUCUAUGGACGUCAUUUAGAUUUUGUCAUCUAUUAAUGAUUUUGUGCCAAUUAUUUAUAAGAUCGCAUAAGAUAUAAACGUUCUUUUUAACUUGACCUCAAUUGAUAUUUAUCUAUGUUUUUUAAUUUUGAAUGUAUAUAAGUAGACACUUGAAUUUGUACAAAAUUGAACAAAUAGACACAUUCAUCUUACGUGGCAUCCUACAAGUCAACUGUGUGUCCUACAUAUAUAUUAUGUCACGUAGGAUACAUAUAUAUAUCUAGGAAAAGUUAAUCCACAUAUACAUAUAAAAACAUAUAUUACAUCGUAUAUACGUAGAAAUUAGUAAUAUAACAAAAUAAUUACUAGUGAUGACAGAUUUGGAUUAUUUAAUAAUUAAUUUAAUUAUAUUUGAAUUAUUUAAUAAUUAUAUUUUUUUUGCUUUAGUGCAAAUAAGAAGCGUGCAAUUUUUGUAGUAGUACGUACCUAGGAUAUGAUCAUGACCCAGAUGACCACCACCCCUGUAGUUGAAAAAGAAAAGUUAGUUCCAUUUCUCAGCGAAGUACGCUUUAUUUGGACUUCCAGUUGUGGUUUAACUUAACAACAACAACAACAGAUCUAGUGUGAUCCCACACUUGUCUGGAGAGGUGGGUGGUAUGCAGACUGUACCCUACCUUUGCGAGGUAGAGAGGUUGCUUACGAUAAGACCCUCUCGGCUCAAGAAAAGCGUUUUUCAAACAUUUUUAUACUAUUAAUUUUACUCGUUUGGAAACCGACUCUCUACCUCCACGAGGUAGCGUAAGGUCUGUGUACACUCUACCCUCCCUAGACCUCACCUGUGUGAUUACACUAGGUAUGUUAUUGUUGUUGUUGAAUUAAUAAUAAUUUUACUGAUUAUAACAGGUUAUUUACCAUUGUUACAGAUUAUUAACCCAUUCUUGCUAUAAAAAGUUGCAUAUAAUUGGUUAUUUUAAGUAGCAUGAUAGUAUUAGAUUUUUAAGUUGUCGGUGUACAAAAAGAAAUCUGAGUGAUGCUUACCAUAGGCAUUUGCUAGUUCAACACCUCCUUUGAAACCAAGAACGAGAGUGACACAAAGAAUCAUGAGGAUGUAGUUUACCUCUGGGGAAUAGAUUUGUCCUUCAUGCUUGGAUGAAGUAUGUAUAAUGUUUACUCGAGGGAAGCAUCCAAGAGCAAGUGAUUGCUUUACAAUGGAAAAAGUUGCUGAUAUCAUGGACUGGCUAGCAACCACGGCAGCUAGAGUUGAGAUUACAAACAUUGGCCAGUAAACAGGUUUUGGUAGGGAACUGUAAUAAGCAUUGUUGAUAUUCUCUGGAUACCUCACUAGAUAAGCUGUUUCUCCGGCAUAGCUGAGAACUAGGGAUGGAUAAACUACAAAAGAAAAUGCCAACUGCAAGACUCAUUGUACAGAAAUGCCAUCAAUCAGAUUAACUUUUCUAAUGGUAGAUUAGAGUUCUUUGUUCCUUACCUGAAUUGCUCUUUUAUUGAAAUGACCUAAAUCAGCAAACAUGGCUUCCGCUCCUGCAUGACAGUUUAAAACAUGUCGGAAGUGAACUAAUUUUCUCCUAUUUCAUAUGCUUUUCUUUUAUCUUUUUUUUCCCCUCAAAAUUAGUUGUAAAGUUAAACCUGUAAUGCUUAGAAAUACUGCACCGAGAAGAUUCCAAGCAGUCUUUCCAUUUCUUGAAACAAAUUUCACUAUGUAGUGUGGAGAAAUGGCUUUAAGAACGGAUGGAUAGUACUCCAAAAUAUUGUAGAUACCGACUGAAACAUUGGUAGCAAACCACAAUAACAUUACGGGUGUGAAGCAGAAGCUAACUUUGCUUGUUCCACAGCGUUGAAAAGUGAAAAGUGCGAUUAACAUAAUCACAGACAUGAAAACCACAUGAUCUGCAGCCAAUAGAACUUUCAUUAAACCUCACGUUUUGGUGAGUAAAUGGAAGCAGAUCUGAACUAGCAAUAGAACUGUCUUUUGAAAAUUAUUUUGACUUUACCUUGUGUUAUCUUGGAAGAGAGAGAUUGAAUUCCUUGCAGGGCUGAGAGAACUGAUGUAACAAGUGUAUGGACAUGAGGCAACGUCGAAAGGAAAUAUAACUUGGAGAAAACAAAGGAAGAAUGUUACCGCAAGUAGCAGGAGUGAGAGCUCCAUCACCAAUGACCAUACAAGUUCCAAGUAAAACAACAAAAGUAAGAACAUUUUGAGCUGUGGAACUUUUCUCCAGGAACUUCUUAGUUUUUGAACGCCUAGAACUUCCACUCUCUUGGCUGUAAUAAGCCAUGCUCUCAUCAGAUUCCAUCCUAACGUUGUGGAUACUAAGUUUGCUUUGGAAAUUGAUAUGGCGACAGAGAUAUGAAUAGAGAGCAAAAGUACCGCCUUCUCCAUGAUCAUUAGCAUGGAGGACGAUGAAGACAUAUUUGACUAACACAAGCAACGUUAGAGUCCAAAAGAUUAGGCUGAAUGUCCCAAGUAAAUCAUCUUCAGUGAGAUUUGUCAAGCGAGUAGAGGAAAAUACAUUGACAGGAGAAGUGGCAAGGUCCCCAUAUACAACUCCAAGAGAUUGGUAAGCCAACAACAAGGUCUGCAUGGGUGGAUAUUCCUGAGAAAAAUACUCAAAAUCUCAAUAUCCUAUGAAGUGACUUAGAAGUUUCAAGGCAGUAACAAAAAAAAGUGUGAAGUUAUCAGAUUUUAUCGAAACUGGUAGUAGCACUAGCACACAUCGAGGGUAAAAUGAGAACAGGUUGCUUGUGAUGAUUUCAUCAUGUCCUAUGUCAACCUCCAGAUGCACCGGUCUGCAGGAACCAUGAUGACUUAAGGUGUUCAAAAGGAAGAGGUAGUUAUAACUUAAUCACAUGAAGGAAGUUAUCCCGAAAGACCUACACUCUCUUGAAAUCUAUGCAAACCUAGCAAAAGAUCGGGCACAAUGAAAGAAAAGGAUCUAUGUGGAUGAUACCAGUUAGUUGGUUUAAGCUUUAAUUAUGCUAAUAUGUUUACUUUCGAUCCCAAUGUUUGUUGGGAGUUUUUAGGUCUUGUUUGAGAUUUCAUGCGUGGGAAAUGCAGACAGCUUCUAGUGCUACAAAAACUAAUUCUUUAUUAUAUUUGAACUUAGACAAAGCUUAAUUGAGUGACAUGGACAAUGAGAAUUCAUAUAGCCGAGGAUUCACAUAGACGGUCUUAAAUAGAGGGACAGUGGAUAUUUCUUGGAAUAUUGAAGAUGAGAAAAAGUAAAGCUUACCUUAGCUUUGGUUAAGGGAGACUGGUAUGUCUGCAUAACUGUCAUGUAUGUUUCCAUAGCAGGUACUGGUUCUGGAACAACUCUCCUGCUGUUGUUACAAAGGUCAAUACGGUUACUAUCUUCAAGAUUGCUUCUACUUUCAAUAUCAUAGUUCUUUAUGCUGGAAUUGUUGCUUUUAACAUCUUCCAUGUUUUAAAUGCAGGACACUUCCAAUAUUCUAGUUAAGAAGUUGCCGUACAUUGUGUCAUGCUUAUAUAGCUUCAAAAAAGCCUCAAGGACUAUCGAUUUGCAAACAGGGAUAUCGAUUUGGUUGAUCCUAAGAAUAAAACAAAAGAUAUAAGUUAGUGCUGCAAAUUCUAAAAGCCACAAGUUGCUGGAGAGGGAGCAGGUAAAGGAACACAUCAUCAUAUAUAUAUUUUAGCAGUAAUUCCACCAAUUUGCAUACAAAUUUAUUUCAUCAUCCUGUUGGAGCACUUAUCGAUUCGCAAACAGGGAUAUGAAGAUAAAUUAUUGGUACAUUUUCUUGUUGACAUAUUAUAUUUUAUACCAAGGAGUGACUACACACUCUCACAAGUGACAUAUAACCAGAAAUUUUUAAAAAUCUGCCACUGUUGCUUUGUUGGAUGAACCUUAUCUAGUCUAGUCUAGUCUAGUUAAAUAAAUCAAGCUUAAAUUUUUGCAGUAAGUUGAUGACAAGUGAAAACUAGUAAAUCCUCUGAUUAAAAAGGUAAGCUUGAUUAAUGAACAAAAGCUCAUAUGCAAUUUUGCUGGCUUAUGAUUCUUUUGAUUAUGAAUUUUUUGUUUUAUUAUAGGUAUAUAUAUCAGUGUUGACACAUCUUGACCUAAGCUGGUCCAAUGUAAUGGUUAAGGUGUUGCACAACUUUCUUAAACUCGUGUGUUCAGUCCUAGCUAGCGACAUCAUUAUAUUUGCCUUUUUUUUACAUCUUUAAUAAAAA
rnacentral:lncRNA from 1 species